rnacentral:rRNA from 1 species
UACAGAGGAUGCAAGCGUUAUCCGGAAUGAUUGGGCGUAAAGCGUCUGUAGGUGGCUUUUUAAGUCCGCCGUCAAAUCCCAGGCUCAACUCUGGACAGGCGGUGGAAACUACCAAGCUGGAGUACGGUAGGGCAGAGGGAAUUUCCGGUGGAGCGGUGAAAUGCGUAGAGAUCGGAAAGAACACCACGGCGAAAGCACUCUGCUGGGCCGACACGUGACACUGAGAGACGAAAGCUAGGGGAGCGAAUGGG